UUUUGAUGCAGGCAGGGCUGCCGGCUCCCCAAGCCUCCUCCCCGCGAUAACAACCCAGAGGAUGGUGCGACAUGAGAAUCUUGCAGCAGAACCACCACAAUUUGCCCAGCUCACAGUGGAACCACACCACCUGCUUGUGUGGCACAUUCCAGUCAAUGAGAGCAUGUUAUAAGUGAAAAGCCCUGGAAGAAGCUACAAAGAGGGAUGUCUGGGAACAACACAGAUUUAAUUUGAAGCCAUAGAUGUAAAGAAUCACAAAAAAGUAUAUAAAAGUCACAACAGUAUCAGAGAUUCCAUCUGAGGAGACUGCCCUUCCCUUCUCUAAAGCCAAGGACAUCAAUAUCCUGCUUUAGGCCAACAAUGACAAAGAUUAUUUCAUUACAGCUCGAAAGCUCUGCAGCUUUGACCCAUAUGAUGGACCAGAAUAAAGAAAUAUCUCCACUAAAA